rnacentral:rRNA from 1 species
GACGAACGCUGGCGGCGUGCUUAACACAUGCAAGUCGAACGGAAAGGCCCCCUUGUGGGGUACUCGAGUGGCGAACGGGUGAGUAACACGUGAGUAACCUACCCUUGACUUUGGGAUAACUUCAGGAAACUGGGGCUAAUACCGGAUAGGAGCUCCUGCUGCAUGGUGGGGGUUGGAAAGUUUCGGCGGUUGGGGAUGGACUCGCGGCUUAUCAGCUUGUUGGUGGGGUAGUGGCUCACCAAGGCUUUGACGGGUAGCCGGCCUGAGAGGGUGACCGGCCACAUUGGGACUGAGAUACGGCCCAGACUCCUACGGGAGGCAGCAGUGGGGAAUAUUGCACAAUGGGCGGAAGCCUGAUGCAGCAACGCCGCGUGCGGGAUGACGGCCUUCGGGUUGUAAACCGCUUUCGCCUGUGGCGAAGCGUGAGUGACGGUAAUGGGUAAAGAAGUACCGGCUAACUACGUG